rnacentral:rRNA from 1 species
UAGGGAAUCUUCGGCAAUGGACGAAAGUCUGACCGAGCAACGCCGCGUGAGUGAUGAAGGGUUUCGGCUCGUAAAACACUGUUGUAAGAGAAGAAUGACAUUGAGAGUAACUGUUCAAUGUGUGACGGUAUCUUACCAGAAAGGAACGGCUAAAUACGUGCCAG